rnacentral:lncRNA from 1 species
ACAGUCGGGUUGUAGUCCUCGCUCCAGGAUGGUGGAAACUGGUGGGGUCUGGAGUCCACGGCUGGGGAUAUUUGGUAGUAGCUCCCCUGUACCUCCAAUUCCAAGGAGAGGCUGAAGUUUCCCUGGGGAAAUCUGCCCCCGGACAGAGUCUGAAUUUAGUUUGCUCUCCUGCCGCUUGUUUAAGGAAGCUUUCAAGAGGGAAAGAGCUAACUUGUUGGGACUGAUGCUAAUAAAGACAGAAAGCUGAAAAAACGGAGAGGUUAUUUUUAGCUGGGUAAUGGGGAGUAAAUGGGGCCACCCUGUGAUAUGCUAAGAGAUGCUUGCUCUCCUUUCUGCCUGGAACUCCCACACUCUCUGCUGGGCAGACAUCUGUUAAUUGCUUCCUGUUGGACUUUACUUUGACACUUGGGGAAAUGGAAAGAGACUGUCUAACCAUCUUUUUUUUUUUUUUCUCCUCCCCACCCUCCCCCCAAAGAUGUCUCUGUGGGAUUUUGGAGACGGAAGAAAAGGAAGCAGGGGCUGAGUUUGUGCGCGCUGGUGUCUAUUGCCUUUGGGUGGGUGACGUAGUGUGACCCAUGCCCACGAGGUGGCGACAAACGACCUCCUGGCCGGAGGACUGGAUGGAUGCAAAGAGGUGGGUGAAAUGGGUUUGCUUUCUGUCCUAACCCGAAGGAUAACCACUUACUGGAUGCUGACCACGUGGCAGGCACGCCCAGAAGUGCUGUUUAUACAUUAACUUACUGAUUUAUCUUUGCAGCAAUCCCUUGAGUCUUACAAAAGAUAAGGAACUGGUUUGCCCCAGGUCACAUACUUGGUGGUUGGCAGAGCUGACAUUUGACCUCCUCUCUGACUGAGGACAUGGGCUGUGAUCUUAUGUACUACACUCUCCUGGACCCUAAAGGAAAUACCCUAUUAAUUCGGGGAAGAAGUUGAAUGGCCCAAACUAUGUCUCACCCUCACUGAGGUCUGUAGCUCCCUUCAUCCUUCACUGUCAUAAAAUAAAGGAGUCCAGAAAGACCAGGGACUUAGAAUCCGAGAGUUAGAAAAGUCUUGACCAUCUACUCCAGGCACCCAUUCAGUAUAGGACUUUUUCAGGCACAGGCCCGAAGGAGGAUAAGAUAGUCUCUGCU